rnacentral:piRNA from 1 species
GAGAGAGAUGCAGAGAGGGAGAGA